CCACGAGGAGUGCAGAGGAGGUGCUGAUGAUUGCGGGGAGAGCUCUGAGAGCCCGAGAAAGAUGGGGAAACUGAAGCCCUAGAGGAAAAGAAGACUAAAUGUAUUACCAUCUGACCCACUUCCUGGCCAGCCUGUUCACCUGUCUGCUGUUCUUCAUUGUUGGGCUGCCUUCUUUUGAUCAAAGCACCUGGAUUUUCAUCUUGGGACUUAUCCCUUCUCCAUCCUCAGUACAUGUUGCUCAAAUGUGGGUAACCCUGGUCUCUGGGCUCCAAGUGAAUAACUCAGGGGUGAUUCUUUUGCGACCCUUGAUGUUUCUUUACAGAAAGAGAAGCUUAUUUUUUUUUCCCUGCUGUUCCUAAGCCAGAAGAAUUUAAACCUGGAGCUGCUGGUGGCCAUUUUGACACUCAAUAAAGAGCUCUUGCCUGAGAAUGAAACCAUCACAAAUGGAAAUAGAGACAAUGAAUAUAGGCAGAUUCUUGAUGACUUUGUCUAAACUCUUGGAUCUAGCUAUGCCUGAAACCUUAGAGUUUCUGUAAUGUGAACCUCUGAUUCCAAUAUUUUUUGCUUGUGUAAAUUUGAGAGGGUUUUGUUACUUGCAACUAAAAGAUUUUUGAU
rnacentral:lncRNA from 1 species